GACGAACGCUGGCGGCGUGCUUAACCACAUGCAAGUCGAACGAUGAACGCGGGAGCUUGCUCCUGCCGGAUUAGUGGCGAACGGGUGAGUAACACGUGAGCAAUCUGCCCUUGACUCUGGGAUAACGCCGAGAAAUUGGUGCUAAUACCGGAUAUGACCCCUGGCGGCAUCGCUGGGGGUGGAAAGUUUUUCGGUCAAGGAUGAGCUCGCGGCCUAUCAGCUAGUUGGUGAGGUAAUGGCUCACCAAGGCGACGACGGGUAGCCGGCCUGAGAGGGUGACCGGCCACACUGGGACUGAGACACGGCCCAGACUCCUACGGGAGGCAGCAGUGGGGAAUAUUGCACAAUGGGCGAAAGCCUGAUGCAGCAACGCCGCGUGGGGGAUGACGGCCUUCGGGUUGUAAACCUCUUUUAGCAGGGAAGAAGCGAAAGUGACGGUACCUGCAGAAAAAGCGCCGGC
rnacentral:rRNA from 1 species